UACGGAGGGGGCUAGCGUUGUUCGGAAUUACUGGGCGUAAAGCGCACGUAGGCGGCUUUGUAAGUUAGAGGUGAGAGCCCAGGGCUCAACCCUGGAAUUGCCUUUAAGACUGCAUCGCUUGAACAUCGGAGAGGUAAGUGGAAUUCCGAGUGUAGAGGUGAAAUUCGUAGAUAUUCGGAAGAACACCAGUGGCGAAGGCGACUUACUGGACGAUUGUUGACGCUGAGGUGCGAAAGCGUGGGGAGCAAACAGG
rnacentral:rRNA from 1 species